UAUGUAUAGCUGUAUAAAAGUGAGAUAGUUUUCAGCAUUCUACACAGAACUUAAUCUGUUCUAUUUCACGACAAACACGAAAAAGAAGAAAAAUGACUCUCAAAUCCUGUCUCUGGUUUUUAGUGGCGGUUGCAGUUGUUGUUAAUACAACUUCAGCUUGCAACUAUCUUACAAUGAUGCCAUGCUUAGGGAUGAUGAAAGAUAAUCCAGGCAAUUUGGCUGAAGAAUGCAGAGUCGCUUCGCAGGUGAUCGAAUGUCUCCAAGGUUUGUCCUCAGAAUGUUCCGAAAAACCUGAGUAUGGUCAAAUGAUGUCGAAUCUCAAUAACUUGAUGAAAUUCCAAUGCAAAAUUUAGAUCUACACCGGUACAUCCUUCUGAGAAGACUGCAGAAUGUUUUCCUUUAUUUAAAUAAAAUGAAUAUUCUGGAUUGACAA